CAAGUAAAUCAACAGCAAUUCUCAGAGCAAUCAUGAGCAAUACGGUGUCGUAAACGGGGGCAGAAAUGUAGUUACUGGGGGGGCAAAUGCAUUCUCUGGGGGGGCAAUUGCCCCCCAGAUAUAUAGUUACGUAAAAAAGGCACUGUAACAUGUCAAACAUUUGUCAAACAUGGACGAUAGUGGAAGGAGAUCGAGAGAUGAUCCAACUUUUAAAGCUGGGCAAAAACACUAUUGCUCAAAGAUUCACAUGAGAAAGCUGUUCGGAGAUGAUUCGAAACGUUUUGACAAAUUUAGUUUGUCAGUGGCUAUACCUCUGAUGGGGAAAUACUCUUGGAUUACUCAAAAAAUAUAAUUACAGAGGAAACAAUGAAACUUUUGUUUGAGCUGGCUGAAAGUAGAAAUGUUCUGGCGGCUCGGGAAAGGUUAUUUUCUUGUGAAAAGAUAAAUUUUACUGAGGUAACGAUAUAUAACCAUACCAUAUAGCUACAUCGUGUUUCAAAAACGUAAACCCUUUAUCAUCCUGUAUCAAGCCUCUUUAUAAAUACCUAUAAUUUUAUGCACUAUGACAGGUUGAAGAUUAUAAUGUUACAAACAUUAUAUAAUCUUCAACGUGAGAAAACAUCGCCUU